UUCGCAAUGCCCGAAAGGGUGACGAAGCGACGUCGCGUGGGUGAUGAAGGCCCUUGGGUCGUAAAACCCUGUCAAGAGUUAAGAAAGCAGCUAGUCUGUUUGACGAAGGCUCUAAAGGAAGUCACGGCUAACUCUGUGCCAGCAGCCGCGGUAAUACAGAGGUGGCAAGCGUUGUUCGGAAUUAUUGGGCGUAAAGAGCACGUAGGUGGAUUUGUAAGUCAGAUGUGAAAGCCUUCUGUUCAACGGGAGAAUUGCAUCUGAAACUACAAACCUUGAGUAUAGGAGGGGAGAAUGGAACUUCUGGUGGAGCGGUGAAAUGCGUAGAUAUCAGAAGGAACGCCGGCGGCGAAAGCGAUUCUCUGGCCUAUUACUGACACUCAGUGUGCGAAAGCUAGGGGAGCAAACGGGAUUAGAUACCCCGGUAGUCCUAGCCGUAAACGAUGGGCACUAAGUAGAGGGGUUUU
rnacentral:rRNA from 1 species